CAUAUGCUGCGACCGCAGAGCAGAGCAGAGCCGCGGAGACGUCGUUGUUUUGGUUUGUUAGCACUGAGAGAAGGUUAAUUACUGAAGAAGUCUGGAGGCUAAACCGAGCUUUAGAGCUGUUUUGUCGAACACAGGUGUCACCACUUCAUCCAUGACUCCAGAGACCAGAUCAGACCAGAUGAGACCAGGACAGAGAGUCUUCCAGGUGAACUCACAGAAACAGCUGGAUCCAGUGGAGCUGAAGGAGGAGGAGGUGACGGCAGCAGCUGAAGGUCUGGACCUGAAGAGGAUGAAAGAAAAACAGAGUUAUUGAGCUGAUAAUCACAGACUGAUGCAAGUAAAGCUGUUUGGUUUUAUUCACUCAGUUUCUAACAGUGUGAUGUAGUUGUCCUCAUGUGCUCACUUAGUACAUUAGCUUGGUUUGUAGAGAUAUAAAGACUGUGACCGGAAAUGUUUAACGUCUUUACACUGUCAUGAUUUUCCUCUGAAAGAAGAGCAGCUUUUACCUCUAGAUGAUUCUUCAACUGAAGUUUGUAACUCAGACACUGGUUGGUUUGUGGUAUUCUUUGAGUAUUUUACUUUUUUAGUCUUUGACAGUUUGAACUUCAAUACCCAGAAACCCUCUGUGCUUUUGGUUCUGUGAUUUGAAAGUUGCUGAUGUUUGUUGUUUCUGAAUUUUCUCUUCAGGACUCAGAGUUGAACAUCAGCUGAUGGAGAGAAGAGACAUGAAAACAUUUCCAGAAGGUCAGUGUUUAUUGUUUUCAGUCUGACUCUGUCAUUAUCUCAGCUGCAAUAACAUAAUCCACUUUAAUAAUAAUUAUCAGUAUUUUUUCACUAUGUCACUGCAAAAAGAAUUGGUAUGAAACUCUUAAAUGUGUGUCUCCUGUGUAGAGUCAGACUGAAAACAAUAAACACUGACCUUCUGGAAAUGUUUUCAUGUC